UACGAAGGGGCUAGCGUUGUUCGGAAUUACUGGGCGUAAAGCGCACGUAGGCGGAUUGUUUAGAGAGGGUGAAAUCCCAGGGCUCAACCCUGGAACUGCCUCUCAUACUGGCAAUCUCGAGUUCGAGAGAGGUGAGUGGAAUUCCGAGUGUAGAGGUGAAAUUCGUAGAUAUUCGGAGGAACACCAGUGGCGAAGGCGGCUCACUGGCUCGAUACUGACGCUGAGGUGCGAAAGCGUGGGGAGCAAACAGGAUUAGAUACCCU
rnacentral:rRNA from 1 species